UACGUAGGGUGCGAGCGUUAAUCGGAAUUACUGGGCGUAAAGCGUGCGCAGGCGGUUUUGUAAGACCGAUGUGAAAUCCCCGGGCUCAACCUGGGAACUGCAUUCGAGACUGCCUUGCUAGAGUAUGGGAGAGGGAAGUGGAAUUUCCGGUGUAGCGGUGAAAUGCGUAGAUAUCGGAAGGAACAUCAGUGGCGAAGGCGACUUCCUGGACCAAUACUGACACUCAGGUGCGAAAGCGUGGGGAGCAAACAGG
rnacentral:rRNA from 1 species